AUGGCCUUGCUGUACGUGUCACCUUGCGGAUCUGGUGCGUCAGUUUGCCAUCCGACGGGAGUCCUUACGUCCAGUCGUCGUUACUUCGUCGGUCUCGGUACACGAAAGAAUGCUGGGUCAGUAUUGCUUCUGCCUACUUUUAAUAGGUGUUGUUUCAACUAUCUUGUAGAUGAACCCUUUUUUUGGAGCAUGGGCUUUCUUUGUUACGAAGGAACGCUGGUCAUUGACCCGUGCGCAUGUGUGCACAAAUGAGCAAAUGAAGCUCGUUAGUAACUUAUUAGUAUAUUUGUUUUUUGAAACGACUAUAUCGUAACUUCCGC
rnacentral:lncRNA from 1 species